GGGGAGCAAACAGGAUUAGAUACCCUGGUAGUCCACGCCGUAAACGAUGUCGAUUUGGAGGUUGUGCCCUUGAGGCGUGGCUUCCGGAGCUAACGCGUUAAAUCGACCGCCUGGGGAGUACGGCCGCAAGGUUAAAACUCAAAUGAAUUGACGGGGGCCCGCACAAGCGGUGGAGCAUGUGGUUUAAUUCGAUGCAACGCGAAGAACCUUACCUGGUCUUGACAUCCACAGAACUUUCCAGAGAUGGAUUGGUGCCUUCGGGAACUGUGAGACAGGUGCUGCAUGGCUGUCGUCAGCUCGUGUUGUGAAAUGUUGGGUUAAGUCCCGCAACGAGCGCAACCCUUAUCCUUUGUUGCCAGCGGUUAGGCCGGGAACUCAAAGGAGACUGCCAGUGAUAAACUGGAGGAAGGUGGGGAUGACGUCAAGUCAUCAUGGCCCUUACGACCAGGGCUACACACGUGCUACAAUGGCGCAUACAAAGAGAAGCGACCUCGCGAGAGCAAGCGGACCUCAUAAAGUGCGUCGUAGUCCGGAUUGGAGUCUGCAACUCGACUCCAUGAAGUCGGAAUCGCUAGUAAUCGUAGAUCAGAAUGCUACGGUGAAUACGUUCCCGGGCCUUGUACACACCGCCCGUCACACCAUGGGAGUGGGUUGCAAAAGAAGUAGGUAGCUUAACCUUCGGGAGGGCGCUUACCACUUUGUGAUUCAUGACUGGGGUGAAG
rnacentral:rRNA from 1 species